rnacentral:lncRNA from 1 species
CCGGGGCUGAGGUGGAGCCGCGGGACGCCGGCAGGGUUGUGGCGCAGCAGUCUCCUUCCUGCGCGCGCGCCUGAAGUCGGCGUGGGCGUUUGAGGAAGCUGGGAUACAGCAUUUAAUGAAAAAUUUAUGCUUAAGAAGUAAAAAUGGCAGGCUUCCUAGAUAAUUUUCGUUGGCCAGAAUGUGAAUGUAUUGACUGGAGUGAGAGAAGAAAUGCUGUGGCAUCUGUUGUCGCAGGUAUAUUGUUUUUUACAGGCUGGUGGAUAAUGAUUGAUGCAGCUGUGGUGUAUCCUAAGCCAGAACAGUUGAACCAUGCCUUUCACACAUGUGGUGUAUUUUCCACAUUGGCUUUCUUCAUGAUAAAUGCUGUAUCCAAUGCUCAGGUGAGAGGUGAUAGCUAUGAAAGCGGCUGUUUAGGAAGAACAGGUGCUCGAGUUUGGCUUUUCAUUGGUUUCAUGUUGAUGUUUGGGUCACUUAUUGCUUCCAUGUGGAUUCUUUUUGGUGCAUAUGUUACCCAAAAUACUGAUGUUUAUCCGGGACUAGCUGUGUUUUUUCAAAAUGCACUUAUAUUUUUUAGCACUCUGAUCUACAAAUUUGGAAGAACCGAAGAGCUAUGGACCUGAGAUCACUUCUUAAGUCACAUUUUCCUUUUGUUAUAUUCUGUUUGUAGAUAGGUUUUUUAUCUCUCAGUACACAUUGCCAAAUGGAGUAGAUUGUACAUUAAAUGUUUUGUUUCUUUACAUUUUUAUGUUCUGAGUUUUGAAAUAGUUUUAUGAAAUUUCUUUAUUUUUCAUUGCAUAGACUGUUAAUAUGUAUAUAAUACAAGACUAUAUGAAUUGGAUAAUGAGUAUCAGUUUUUUAUUCCUGAGAUUUAGAACUUGAUCUACUCCCUGAGCCAGGGUUACAUCAUCUUGUCAUUUUAGAAGUAACCACUCUUGUCUCUCUGGCUGGGCACGGUGGCUCAUGCCUGUAAUCCCAGCACUUUGGGAGGCCGAGGCGGGCCGAUUGCUUGAGGUCAAGUGUUUGAGACCAGCCUGGCCAACAUGGCGAAACCCCAUCUACUAAAAAUACAAAAAUUAGCCAGGCAUGGUGGUGGGUGCCUGUAAUCCCAACUACCUAGGAGGCUGAGGCAGGAGAAUCGCUUGAACCCGGGGGGCAGAGGUUGUAGUGAGCUGAGUUUGCGCCACUGCACUCUAGCCUGGGGGAGAAAGUGAAACUCCCUCUC